UUUUAGAGAAUAUAUAGUCAAGGUUUUUUGGGUUGGCUGCAUAAGAAAUUAUCAUCGCAACGGUGUUAUCAAAGGUGCGCUAAGCCCUAAAGCGAGGCUCAAAACGUGUUGAGCGCUUCGCCUCGCUUGUGCGCUUCACUGUCGUCAUCAAGUUUCUAAGACUUACUUUCCUUGCCAAUGAGUCUCUUCUGAAGAGGCGACACUAAACAAUUGAUAUUUCACUUUAUUGUAAUUGUUUUUCAAUUUCUUUGUUCAUAUUUGUCAUUCAAGCUUAUAAUUAUUAGUCUUCGGCUAAACAUAAAGAUUUGUAAUUUUCUCCCUUUGCGCCUUUUUUGCAUUGAAGCCCAUGCUUUUAUUUGCGCUUUGCGCUUUAAGCCCCAACAACUUUUAAGAGUUUUUUGCACUUUUUGCUUUUGAUAACACUGCUGAUCGCACACAAAAUUCUGCAUGUCUAAUAUACUAUGUUUAGUUUGCAACAUAAAACUCUGUAUUGCUAAUUUGAUUUCCGAUGUAAAAAUAUGCAUAACAAAUAUCCCUUCGUCCCAAUUUAAGUGCCUUAGUUUGUCUGGGCUCAAAGUUUAAGAAAUGAACGGAGAAUUUUGAAUCUCGUGGUCUUAAAUUUCCUUUAAAUUUUGUGGUUUUAAACUUGCCGUGCAAAAUGUUGGAAUUUGAACACUUACUAGAUAUAGAAAGAUGCAAUCUCUUUGGGACAAGCCAAAAAGGAAAGUAAGACACUUAAAUUGGGACAAAAGGGAGUACAUCUUUUGUUGUGGUACUAAACGUGAUUCAGUGUAUUAUCUUAUGCGGGAUAGGAUAAAAGGGCAGCUCGGUGCACUAAAGCUACCGCUAUGCACGGUGUCCGGGGAAGGGCCCCACCACAAGGGUGUAUCGUACGCAGCCUUACCUUGCAUUUAUGCGGGAUAGGAUACAGAAUUAAAAUAGUAAUUAGCGAUACUUGGAUAAGAGUGUAUCUAGAAGCAUAAAUAUUGCUUUUAAAGUAGACAAUUAUUCAGCUCACAACAAUCCCUAGAUUAUUAUUCGUUGCAUAACAAUCCUUUAUCAUGAUCCAUGCGUAAGAGUCUGUGGACCAAAGGGCCCCUCAAAGUAUGAAUUGUGUAUGCUUAUUUCCUAUAUGAAGACCUUGAGGACGUGAAGCAAGUGGGCAGUAAGGCUGGCAUGUCUCUUUGUCAGAUGUCUCUCCAACUCUUUUAAACCAAACAUUAUCAUAUUCAUGUUAGGAAUAACUCUUUUCAUGAGAAUUGCUGUGUAUGCCAAAUAUACUUCUCAAAUUAUUUGAUCACUGCAGCGGUAGUUCACAGGUCAUAAAAAAGAUAUUCCAUUAAUGCAGAAUACUUUACUUGUUGCUAAAGAUAAUUUUUUAACGGGAUAAUAGUUGGAUUUUGUCAUGGUCUUUAUCUCUAUCACAAACCAUGUGCAAUGAUUGGCUAUUUCUUUAGGAGAUAUCGGCAUAUUGCAGUGUCUAGCUGGUCGUACUCUUUGGUGUUCUGUUCUGUCUGAUCCUAUUGAUGGUGAUCUGUCGUAUAAUUUGCAUUAGGGUGUAAAAAGUUACUCUAGUGAUCCAUGUUCUUGUGAAUUUGUACUCCUGAUGUAUGGCCACUUCUAUGAUAAUGAUAGCUGGUAGGUUCCAUUCAUUACCAUUGUAAUUCUCAAUGAUUGUCGACCUAGCUUGUGCAGUUACAUUCAUUAGGCACUUGUAUGAGAGAGAUAUUAAUUCAACCACAAUCAAUACAGGACGCUGCUAUAAUUUAUCAAUCUUAAACAAGGAUCAGGAGAAUCGCCUUUCUAGAGAUCACACACACACUUUAUAUUGUGAUUUUGGUAUCAAAAGUAGUAAAGGAAAGAUGCAGUUCUAAAUGUAGAAACGGUAGUUUAUUAAUUCAGCAGUGUAUAUGCAGUUAUAAAGAAGGAAUGCAUGACAGAAUUUGCAUGCGAUUUUGUCCCACAUCGUCUCAAACACAAAAUACUACUCUUCUGUUAAUCUAUUUAGCGGUCUCUAGUUAUGAACUUCAACACAGCUUCUGGGCCUGCCUAAGUGCGGGCCCUUGAUGGCUCACAUGACCUUGUAAGAAGGUCCUUCUGGUUGCAGUAUAAUGCAAAUCUUGUCUGCACGAUUGCUGGCACUGAGGGAUCCGGGACAGAAAAGACAUGUGCUGACUAAUUGAAUGGUUAUGUUCACCCAAAUAUUGGAAGUUUUCACUCGCUCCGCUUUCAAUGUGGACGUCUCCUGAGUGAUUUGAUAGUCAGUGAAUUUUGGAUGGUUCUCGGCUAUUGCAACCCAUUUACCUGUGUUUCAAGCAAGUCAGAUACACCUUUCUAGGUGCACAAGGCCUAGCUGUGUGUAACAUUCUUCAUUAUGGCUGGCAUCGUCCACUGUAUUCCGAACCAAUUCAGCACACUCACCACAUUAUUGCCACUUUGCAGUGUACAGGAAGUAACCAUGUGACAGCUGACAUAUGUAAUCCUUCGCGUUCUCAUGUUCUCGGCGGUCAGCACUGGACCCAAGCUAAGAAACACACCUUUCUUGGUGCUCAAGGUUCUUGGCUGUUAGCACCCAUUCCACCUGCAAUUCAAGCAAAUCAGAAGACGCACCUUUCUUGGUGCCCAAGUGUUACAGGAAGUAACCCACAUUCUCAACUGUGCAUUUGCACAUGAAGCACCAGGUGACAGCUGACAUAUGUGAGCCUUACUAUUCUCAUGUUCUCAGCUGUCAGCACUGGAUACGAGCUGCAACCCAAGCUGAUAAACGCACCAUUCGUGGUGCAAGCACCAGGUGACAGCUGACCUAUGUGAUCCUUCGUGUUCUCAGCUGUCAGCAGUGAAUACGAGCUGCAACCCAAGCUGAUAAUAAAAACACCUUUUGUGUUGCUCAAUUGGAUCAGACUACUCGUGGCAUAAUUAAGCGGACUUAUUCCUGGAGCCUGGAGGAAUAUAGACCAACUGUUCAGUAAUACUAGAUAUCCCUGAUUCCAGCUGGCAGCAGCAACAUAAAACCGACCCAGUAUUAGCCUUAAUGGUCAAUUAUCCAGACUCUGGUGCAAACUGGCUUUCUGGCAGCAAGAUUCCAGUGGAUGAAGUUACUGAUAGCCCAGCAUUUGUAGAAGCUAUUGAAUUUAAGAUGACUCUAUACUUUGGGUCAGAUUUUUUUCUUAUUUGGAUAUUGAAGUAAGAAUUAAAUUGGAUAAUGGCUCAUUAUGGUUGCAUAUUAUUAUAUGGUUCUUUUUCUGGUGUGGCA